rnacentral:rRNA from 1 species
UACGGAGGGUGCAAGCGUUAUCCGGAUUCACUGGGUUUAAAGGGAGCGUAGGUGGGGUGGUAAGUCAGUGGUGAAAUCUCCGGGCUUAACUCGGAAACUGCCAUUGAUACUAUCAUUCUUGAAUAUUGUGGAGGUAAGCGGAAUAUGUCAUGUAGCGGUGAAAUGCUUAGAUAUGCCAUAGAACACCGAUUGCGAAGGCAGCUUGCUGGACCUGUAUUGACGCUGAGGCACGAAAGCGUGGGGAGCAAACAGG